CGCCGGGCGGCGCGGGCGGGGCCCCGGUGGCGCGCCCGCCUCCCCCUUCGGCUCGCGCGCGGGAAGCGGCGGCUCUUCCCCGGGACUCCGGGCGCUCCUCGCGCGGCCCUCGCCGGCUUUGCCUCGGGGGCCCUCUAGCCUUGUCCGCCGGAGUUCUCCACCGACCGCUCGGGGACACUUCCCGCCGGCGACGCCCGAGCGCCCCCUGAGGGUCCGGCCGCCGGAGCUGCGGGGUCCCGGCCCUGCUCGCCGCCCCCGACCCUCGAGGCUCUCCCGCCGGCCUGCCUCCUCCCAGCCUCCGGCCUCGACGCGGGGGUGCGGACCUGGUCCCGUCUGCGCCCCCCAACACCCCCGGAAGGAGUGCGGUCCUCCGAGGCCCCGCCGCCGGCCAUGGCCUUCACUUUCGCCGCUUUCUGCUACAUGCUGUCCCUGGUGCUGUGCGCCGCGCUCAUCUUCUUCGCCAUCUGGCACAUAAUUGCCUUCGAUGAGUUAAGGACAGAUUUUAAGAGCCCCAUAGACCAGUGCAACCCUGUUCACGCGAGGGAACGGCUGAGGAACAUUGAACGCAUCUGCUUCCUCCUGAGAAAGCUGGUGCUGCCCGAAUACUCCAUCCACAGCCUCUUCUGUAUCAUGUUCCUGUGUGCGCAGGAGUGGCUCACCCUGGGGCUGAACAUCCCCCUGCUCUUCUAUCACUUCUGGAGGUACUUUCACUGUCCGGCAGACAGUUCCGAGCUGGCCUACGACCCGCCCGCGGUCAUGAACGCAGACACCCUGAGUUACUGUCAGAAGGAGGCCUGGUGCAAGCUGGCGUUCUACCUGCUGUCCUUCUUCUAUUACCUCUACUGAAACAGAAGGGCCAGGGAGAUACCCCGUAAGAGAUCACAUAGUUUGUGUGCCCCUCGGACCUCGGAAGAGUGAUGGUGGUCACUGUGGUGGCGAUGCUGAGAUGUGAUGCGGCAUAAUCUGGGAGCCCCGGACGCAGCCAUCACGUCAGCACGAGGCAGCUGCUGGGAAAGAAUCUGCUGCACCCCUACCCCGGGGACCGCCUUACAGUCUCAGGAAAGGGGACGGCCGCCAUCAUCGCCUUGUGGCAUGAUCUACACUCUAGUGAGCUCUUAACCCGGGCCGCACAGGUCAUCAGAGACGGGGACGGGAGAGGCUCGAGGCGGAGUCCUCGCGACUGGCUGGCGGUUGGAGAAGGGCCCGGACUGGGGUGCGUGAGAGACACCUGCGGACGGCGGAUUCCUGCGGCAGCGGGGACCGAGGUCACGGGGCGUGGGGGUCGCUGCCCAGCCCGCACCCAGGUGGCGAUCCCGUCUGGGCCACGGGACCUCUCCUGAGCAAGGACUGUUGCUGCCUGAGUGACCCCCGCCCCUCUGAGCACCCCGUGCGGUCCACAGUGAGCCCGGGACCGCGGGCGGGGGGUGGGGGGGCACAACCGGCAGGCCACAAACUGCCUGCCCAGGAACAGAAUGACCCAGGACCUGCUGAGGCCUCCAGGGUGUCGCGGGCUACCCGAGCCCUCUGUGUGUCCUCGGAGCCCCGCCGCACCCUGCGCUUCCGCGGGAGGGUCUGCGGGGGCGCGGAUUCGCCAUUGGCUCCCACCGGCCCCGAGCCCGCGGGCGGCCUGUUUUCGCGCUCCGCUUUGUGGGAGUCGGCCCGGCGACACUGGGAGCUGGGGCUCGGGCUGCUGGCCAUGAAUUAUGUCCGAAGUCAGAGGGGAGGCGGGAAUCGGAGGGAAGAAUGAUUUUUUAAAGCCUUUUCACGUUCAAAGUGUUCUUUGCCACCACAAACUGUGUUCUCCCGCUGUCGGUCCAAAACCGUCGCAGAAUCAACGAAGGCAAAUCGACCGGUCGACGUCGUCAACGCCUGUCUUCUUCUUAAGGACCCCAAACAGCGGCGCCCGGGAAACGCCCUGCACCUGCUCUGUGCUGUGUGCAUCGGGCGGCCAGGAGGCGAGACGGCGCAAUUACAGCCUCCUUUUGUGAUGCUACGUCAUUCGUUCUGUUAGUGCCACUCGAGGACUUUGGCUUAUUUAGAAUUUUCCCUCUGACGUCCUCUCCUGUUUGGGUAGGAGGUGUCCUUGGGGUUGUAAAUAAUGACAAGGCUGAGGUUUUUAUGUUUAAA